rnacentral:rRNA from 1 species
UGCCAGAAUGGCUUGGUGCUCGAAAGAGAACCGUAACACAGGUGCUGCAUGGCUGUCGCCAGAUCGUGUCGUGAGAUGUUGGGUUAAGUCCCGCAACGAGCGCAACCCUUGUCAUUAGUUGCUACAUUUGGUUGGGCACUCUAAUGAGACUGCCGGUGACAAACCGGAGGAAGGUGGGGACGACGUCAAGUCCUCAUGGCCCUUAUAGGUAGGGCUACACACGUCAUACAAUGGAUGGUACAGAGGGUCGCCAA